rnacentral:rRNA from 1 species
GCCAGCCCGCUCAGAAACUCAAUGAAUUGACGGGGCCCGCACAAGCGGAGGAGCAUGUGGUUUAAUUCGAUGAUACGCGAGGAACCUUACCUGGGCUCGAACGUAAGAUGACUGUAGGUGAAAGCUUACAUCUCUUCGGAGCAUUUUACGAGGUGCUGCAUGGUUGUCGUCAGCUCGUGCCGUGAGGUGUCGGGUUAAGUCCCAUAACGAGCGCAACCCCUACCUUUAGUUGCCAUCAGGUAAUGCUGGGGACUCUAAAGGAACUGCCUACGCAAGUAGUGAGGAAGGCGGGGAUGACGUCAAAUCAGCACGGCCCUUACGUCCAGGGCUACACACGUGCUACAAUGGCCGAUACAGAGGGCAGCUACCUGGUGACAGGAUGCAAAUCUCCAAAGUCGGUCUCAGUUCGGAUCGGAGUCUGCAACCCGACUCCGUGAAGUUGGAUUCGCUAGUAAUCGCGCAUCAGCCAUGGCGCGGUGAAUACGUUCCCGGGCCUU